UGAAACCUGUGAAUUUCCAUUGCUCA
rnacentral:piRNA from 1 species